UAGUUGAGAAGGAAGGUAUAAGAAGCUGGUUGAUGUUGUAUAGAUGAGAACUGUCUUCCACAGGCUUGGGCAUUUGAACACUUCACCCAUUUUUGGUGGCUCUGAUAGAACAGAUUUAGGUAUAGCCUUGCUAUAAUAAGGCAUAUGUCAGUAUGGGAGGACUUUGAGAGUACAUCACCCACCUCACUGUUCUCUUUCUCUGCUUCAUGUUUACAGUUCAGGAUGUGAGAUAUCAACCUCCAGCCUCUUGCAGCCAUAUCUGCUACUUACUGUUAUUGCUCCUGCCCUGAUAGAGGUUCCCUCUGGAAUCAUGAGAUCAAAUGAACUCUUUAUUCUGGUCAACUUAGAGAAGCUUUACCAAGGGCUGAGAUUUCUAGUGAUAACUGUGGCUACUUCAGUGAAGGAAGCUGAC
rnacentral:lncRNA from 1 species